UAAGCAAGCUGUUCUAUCGCACAAAUUCGUUGAAUUGGUGAGGAAAGUCCGGACAACACAGAGCGCCAUACUUCCUAACGGGAAGGUGUUUUGUCAGGAAUGACAAAAUAACAGAUAGUGCCACAGAAAAUAACCUCCUUGAAUUUUUGGGAAAGGGUGAAAAUGUGAGGCAAGAGCUCACAUCGCGGUGUGGUAACAUGCCGGGAGGGUAAACCUUAUGGGUUGAAAGGCCAAAUAUACCGGGAAUUCCCUGUUUCAUGGCAGGGAUAAAGGGCUGCUCGUCCGCUCCCGGGGGGUAGGCUGCUAGAUUGUGAUAGCGAUAUCACGACCAGAUAAAUGAUAGAAAUCCGCCAGCAAUGGCGGAAACAGAAUCCGGCUUACAGGCUUGCUUUUUAU
rnacentral:RNase_P_RNA from 1 species